rnacentral:rRNA from 1 species
UACGUAGGGUGCAAGCGUUGUCCGGAAUUAUUGGGCGUAAAGAGCUCGUAGGCGGUUUGUCGCGUCGACUGUGAAAACCCGAGGCUUAACCUCGGGCCUGCAGUCGAUACGGGCAGACUAGAGUUCGGUAGGGGAGACUGGAAUUCCUGGUGUAGCGGUGAAAUGCGCGGAUAUCAGGAGGAACACCGGUGGCGAAGGCGGGUCUCUGGGCAACUACUGACGCUGAGGAGCGAAAGCGUGGGGAGCGAACGGG